rnacentral:rRNA from 1 species
AUUACUCCUACGGGAGGCAGCAGUGGGGAAUAUUGCACAAUGGGCGAAAGCCUGAUGCAGCGACGCCGCGUGAGCGAAGAAGUAUUUCGGUAUGUAAAGCUCUAUCAGCAGGGAAGAUAAUGACGGUACCUGACUAAGAAGCACCGGCUAAAUACGUGCCAGCAGCCGCGGUAAUAAU